GCUAUCCGCUUGCUGCUUUGCUGACGAGUGGCGGACGGGUGAGUAAUGUCUGGGAAACUGCCUGAUGGAGGGGGAUAACUACUGGAAACGGUAGCUAAUACCGCAUAACGUCGCAAGACCAAAGAGGGGGACCUUCGGGCCUCUUGCCAUCGGAUGUGCCCAGAUGGGAUUAGCUAGUAGGUGGGGUAAAGGCUCACCUAGGCGACGAUCCCUAGCUGGUCUGAGAGGAUGACCAGCCACACUGGAACUGAGACACGGUCCAGACUCCUACGGGAGGCAGCAGUGGGGAAUAUUGCACAAUGGGCGCAAGCCUGAUGCAGCCAUGCCGCGUGUAUGAAGAAGGCCUUCGGGUUGUAAAGUACUUUCAGCGGGGAGGAAGGGAGUAAAGUUAAUACCUUUGCUCAUUGACGUUACCCGCAGAAGAAGCACCGGCUAACUCCGUGCCAGCAGCCGCGGUAAUACGGAGGGUGCAAGCGUUAAUCGGAAUUACUGGGCGUAAAGCGCACGCAGGCGGUUUGUUAAGUCAGAUGUGAAAUCCCCGGGCUCAACCUGGGAACUGCAUCUGAUACUGGCAAGCUUGAGUCUCGUAGAGGGGGGUAGAAUUCCAGGUGUAGCGGUGAAAUGCGUAGAGAUCUGGAGGAAUACCGGUGGCGAAGGCGGCCCCCUGGACGAAGACUGACGCUCAGGUGCGAAAGCGUGGGGAGCAAACAGGAUUAGAUACCCUGGUAGUCCACGCCGUAAACGAUGUCGACUUGGAGGUUGUGCCCUUGAGGCGUGGCUUCCGGAGCUAACGCGUUAAGUCGACCGCCUGGGGAGUACGGCCGCAAGGUUAAAACUCAAAUGAAUUGACGGGGGCCCGCACAAGCGGUGGAGCAUGUGGUUUAAUUCGAUGCAACGCGAAGAACCUUACCUGGUCUUGACAUCCACGGAAGUUUUCAGAGAUGAGAAUGUGCCUUCGGGAACCGUGAGACAGGUGCUGCAUGGCUGUCGUCAGCUCGUGUUGUGAAAUGUUGGGUUAAGUCCCGCAACGAGCGCAACCCUUAUCCUUUGUUGCCAGCGGUCCGGCCGGGAACUCAAAGGAGACUGCCAGUGAUAAACUGGAGGAAAGGUGGGGAUGACGUCAAGUCAUCUGGCCCUUACGACCAGGGCUACACACGUGCUACAAUGGCGCAUACAAAGAGAAGCGACCUCGCGAGAGCAAGCGGACCUCAUAAAGUGCGUCGUAGUCCGGAUUGGAGUCUGCAACUCGACUCCAUGAAGUCGGAAUCGCUAGUAAUCGUGGAUCAGAAUGCCACGGUGAAUACGUUCCCGGGCCUUGUACACACCGCCCGUCACACCAUGGGAGUGGGUUGCAAAAGAAGUACGUAGAGU
rnacentral:rRNA from 1 species